rnacentral:rRNA from 1 species
GGGCUAGCGUUGUUCGGAAUUACUGGGCGUAAAGCGCACGUAGGCGGCUUUGUAAGUUAGAGGUGAAAGCCCGGGGCUCAACUCCGGAAUUGCCUUUAAGACUGCAUCGCUAGAAUUGUGGAGAGGUAAGUGGAAUUCCGAGUGUAGAGGUGAAAUUCGUAGAUAUUCGGAAGAACACCAGUGGCGAAGGCGACUUACUGGACACAUAUUGACGCUGAGGUGCGAAAGCGUGGGGAGCAAACGGG